rnacentral:rRNA from 1 species
AGUGAACGCUGGCGGUAGGCCUAACACAUGCAAGUCGAACGGCAGCACAGUAAGAGCUUGCUCUUACGGGUGGCGAGUGGCGGACGGGUGAGGAAUACAUCGGAAUCUACUUUUUCGUGGGGGAUAACGUAGGGAAACUUCCGCUAAUACCUCAUACGACCUACGGGUGAAAUCAGGGGAUCUUCGGACCUUGCGCGAUUGAAUGAGCCGAUGCCGGAUUGGCUAGGUGGGAGGGUAAAGGCCCACCAAGGCAACGAUGCGUAGCUGACCUGAGAGGAUGAUCGGCCACACUGGAGCUGAGACGAGGUCCCGACGCCGACGGGAGGCAGCGGUAGGGAAUCUUCCGCAAUGGGCGCAAGCCUGACGGAGCAACGCCGCGGGAGUGAUGAAGGUCUUCGGAUCGUAAAACUCUGUUAUUAGGGAAGAAAAUAUGUGUAAGUAACUGUGCACAUCUUGACGGUACCUAAUCAGAAAGCCACGGCUAACUACGUG